AGCCCGGUCGUCUAGCGGCCAAGCCAUCUGGUCAGAAGAGGGGCUAGGGAUCCCGGGCUUUGGAUCAUUGGCCGCGUAGAGAAGAAACCCGGGGACGCCGGUUCGAAUCCGGCCCGGGCUA
rnacentral:tRNA from 1 species